rnacentral:sRNA from 1 species
AUUCUUAAAGGCGCCCGAGUGAAGGCGACAGGCCGCUGACGGCCGGAAGGAAAAUGAGUGAGUCUUUGGUUGUUUGUGAUGUUGCCGAAGAUUUAGUGGAAAAGCUGAGAAAGUUUCGUUUUCGCAAAGAAACGAACAAUGCUGCUAUUAUAAUGAAGAUUGACAAGGAUAAACGCCUGGUGGUACUGGAUGAGGAGCUUGAGGUUUGUUCAAUGAACUAAAUACAAUUUUAUAGGCAUUUCACCAGAUGAACUUAAAGAUGAACUACCUGAACGACAACCUCGAUAUCCUUUUCUUA